AAGGGAUGUUGAUUAAAUUUUGAAAAAGAAAACUCUUAUUUGAAUUGAAGAAAAAUAAAAGAAAAAUGAAAGGAAAAUAAUUGUGCUUCUUUGAAAAAUGAUGAUCUUCAUUUCUUUUUCCUUUCAAGGGAAAAAAUCUAUUCCGCCCAUUUUUGUUUAUCUUUUUCUUUUGGUUUUUUCUUUUCAAGCCAAACAGAGGGCUAGGCCACCUGCCUUUGCCUUUUGCAAGCUGAUUCAAUCACAGCUGUUCAUUGUUUUCUGGAGAUAUAUAUAUAUUCUCAUGAUCAUCCAGAAUCAAGUAUUGGAAGAAGCAGAAAUGUUAAAGUGCGGCAGCUGCAGGUUGCACAGUGGAUUUUGUCUCCCAUUUUGUGCCCAGCUGCAUGGUUUUUCUCCUUUUUGGUUUGAGCUGGGGUGUGCUUUUUUUCAUCAAAAAGAGAGGCUUGGGAGAUGGGCUUAUUACAGCAGCGUUCCAGAGAUUUUCAAAAGCGACACUUUUCAAGUUUCCUGACAAUGGUCACUGCGUCCAGCCGAACAGUCUUUACAAAACAAUCACAAGCAAUAUCAAAGAACUUGCAACUUUCUUUCUUUCUUUCUUCUUGUGUAUCACAGAAGGUGAUAUUUCUCAAGUUUAAAUGCUAAAUAUGAACACAAACAGAUGCAA